GAUGAACGCUGGCGGCGUGCCUAAUACAUGCAAGUCGAGCGAACGGACGAGAAGCUUGCUUCUCUGAUGUUAGCGGCGGACGGGUGAGUAACACGUGGAUAACCUACCUAUAAGACUGGGAUAACUUCGGGAAACCGGAGCUAAUACCGGAUGAUAUUUUGAACCGCAUGGUUCAAAAGUGAAAGACGGUCUUGCUGUCACUUAUAGAUGGAUCCGCGCUGCAUUAGCUAGUUGGUAAUGUAACGGCUUACCAAGGCAACGAUGCAUAGCCGACCUGAGAGGGUGAUCGGCCACACUGGAACUGAGACACGGUCCAGACUCCUACGGGAGGCAGCAGUAGGGAAUCUUCCGCAAUGGGCGAAAGCCUGACGGAGCAACGCCGCGUGAGUGAUGAAGGUCUUCUGAUCGUAAAACUCUGUUAUUAGGGAAGAACAUAUGUGUAAGUAACUGUGCACAUCUUGACGGUACCUAAUCAGAAAGCCACGGCUAACUACGUG
rnacentral:rRNA from 1 species